CGGAUCGCAGUCUGCAACUCGACUGCGUGAAGGUGGAGUCGCUAGUAAUCGCGGAUCAGCAACGCCGCGGUGAAUGCGUUCCCGGGCCUUGUACACACCGCCCGUCAAGUCAUGAAAGUGGGCAGCACCCGAAGACGGUGGCCUAACCCUUGUGGGGGAGCCGUCUAAGGUGAGGCUCGUGAUUGGGACUAAGUCGUAACAAGGUAUC
rnacentral:rRNA from 1 species